rnacentral:rRNA from 1 species
UACGUAGGGUGCGAGCGUUGCCCGGAUUUAUUGGGCGUAAAGGGCGCGUAGGCGGCUCGGCACGUCCGUUGUGAAAUCGCCCGGCUCAACUGGGCGGGGUCAGCGGAUACGGUCGAGCUUGAGCAAGCUAGGGGGGCAAUGGAAUUCCUAGUGUAGCGGUGAAAUGCGUAGAGAUUAGGAAGAACACCAGUGGCGAAGGCGACUUACUGGACUGUAACUGACGCUGAGGCAUGAAAGCGUGGGGAGCAAACAGG